ensembl:lncRNA
GUCAAAGUCCAGGCACAGUAUCAAACACAGAGUGGCAGAUUAGUAGCAAACAUAUCCAAAUGAGGGACAAAUGGGAAUAUCCAAAUAAACAGGCAAAAGGCUGGGUUAAUGUAUUGAACUACGAUUCUGUCAGAUGAAGCAUCCUGGGUGGGCAAAAGUGACCAUGGUUUCUGUCACUUCCAUGUUGGACAUGGCAGAAGGGGUGAGGUGGAGCUGGUUUAUGGAUGUAUCACUUGGUGUUCACGCAGAGCCAAACAGAAGGCAGGCCAUGAGCUGUAAUAAGACCUGCCAAAGGUGGAGUUAGAUAAUGAGGAGCUUCAUGCCAGCCCUGUACAGAGAGCGGCAGGUGAGAAGCAAUUAGAGAG